GUAUUGCUUCCGCAAUACCUAUUCUAAAAUUGGAACGAUACAGAGAAGAUUAGCAUGGCCCCUGCACAAGGAUGACACGCAAAUUCGUGAAGCGUUCCAUAUUUAU
rnacentral:snRNA from 1 species